AAGAAAAAAAAAAAAAACAACGCUUUCAACGUCACUCUGUCUGAAGUCAACUCGGACGCGCCAACUCCCCGCGUUGCGUAAGAAGCCCCCGGCAAACCCAUCUGAAAGCUACACGCUAGUAUUUACUCAAAUUCUUCGCCAAGAGAGUGCGACGCGGAGAAGGGAAGACAGAUAGUGAAGCAUUGACAAAAUGGGGAGCGGACCAAAAGGAAGAACUAUAAUGGAGGUGGGAGCUGACGGGGUGGCUCUUAUAACAAUAAUCAACCCUCCUGUUAAUUCCCUCUCCUUUGAUGUGUUACGCAGCUUAAAAGACAGUUAUGAGCAGGCACUAAGAAGGGAUGAUGUGAAGGCAAUCGUCAUUACAGGUGAAAAGGGCAAGUUUUCUGGUGGCUUUGAUAUUGCAGCUUUUGGGGGAAUUCAGAGGGGAUUGAGGGAGAGAGAAGAAAAGCCUGGCUAUCUAUCUAUAGAGAUUAUCACUGACACUUUUGAAGCCGCAAGAAAGCCUUCUGUUGCUGCCAUUGAUGGCCUUGCCUUAGGUGGAGGAUUAGAGGUUGCAAUGGCAUGCCAUGCUAGAAUAUCAACACCUACUGCACAAUUAGGGUUGCCUGAACUUCAGCUUGGAAUAAUUCCUGGAUUUGGAGGAACACAACGGCUUCCACGUCUUGUUGGCCUCUCAAAAGCUCUUGAAAUGUUGCUGAUGUCUAAGCCAGUCCAAGGGCAGGAAGCCUAUACUUUGGGUCUCGUGGAUGCCAUUGUUUCACCUGAUGAGUUGGUAAAUACUGCACGCCAGUGGGCCUUGGAUAUAUUGGACCAUAGAAGACCAUGGGCUGCUAGUCUUUACAAGACUGACAAGAUAGAGCCCCUUCGAGAAGCAAGGGAAAUACUUACGUUUGCAAGAGCUCAGGUCCAGAAACAGGCUCCCAAUCUCAAACAUCCAUUGCUUUGCAUUGAUAUCAUCGAAGAGGGUAUAGUUUCCGGUCCUCGGGCUGGACUUUGGAAGGAGGCUGAAGCUAGUCGAGCGCUUCUGCAUUCUGACACUUCCAAGAGUUUGGUCCAUAUCUUCUUUGCUCAACGUCGAACGUCAAAGGUACCUGGGGUUACUGAUAUUGGUUUAGUGCCAAGACGAGUAAAUAAGGUUGCUAUUGUUGGUGGAGGGCUAAUGGGCUCUGGCAUAGCAACGGCAUUGAUUCUUCGUAAUUAUCCAGUCAUCCUUAAAGAAGUAAAUGAUAAGUUCUUGCAGGCUGGGAUUGGUAGAGUGAGAGCCAAUUUGCAAAGCCACGUGAAGAAAGGGAAAAUGUCUCAAGAGAAGUUUGAGAAAACCUUCUCUCUUCUCAAAGGUGUUCUUGACUAUGAAAGGUUUAAAGAUGUGGACAUAGUGAUUGAGGCUGUUAUUGAGAAUCUUUCUCUGAAGCAACAAAUUUUUGCUGAUCUUGAAAAGUAUUGCCCACCACAUUGCAUACUUGCAAGUAACACCUCAACAAUUGACUUGAACCUGAUUGGAGAAAAGACAAGAUCCCAAAAUCGGAUUGUUGGAGCUCAUUUCUUUAGCCCGGCUCAUGUCAUGCCACUUCUGGAAAUUGUUCGUACUGAGCAGACAUCUCCCCAAGUGAUUGUUGAUUUGCUAGAUGUUGGUAAAAAGAUUAAUAAGACUCCAGUGGUGGUUGGGAAUUGUGCUGGCUUUGCUGUCAACAGGAUGUUCUUCCCUUAUUCAGAAGCUGCUAUUUUGCUUGUGGAGCGUGGUACAGAUCCCUAUCAAAUUGAUCGGGCAAGUACCAAGUUUGGAAUGCCAAUGGGGCCGUUCAGAUUGGCUGACCUGGUUGGUUUUGGUGUUGCAAUUGCAAGUGGCAUGCAAUAUGCUGAGCAUUUUCCUGAGAGAACUUAUAAAUCCAUGCUUGUUCCACUUAUGCAGGAGGAUAAGAGAGCAGGUGAGACUAGUCGCCAAGGGUUCUAUAUAUAUGGCAAGAACCGCAAAGCUAGCCCAGAUCCUGAAUUAUAUAAAUAUAUUGAGAAGUCAAGGAGCAUUUCUGGGGUAACCAUUGACCCUAAGGUAGUGAAGUUAUCAGACAACGAAAUUGUGGAGAUGAUAUUCUUCCCUGUGGUGAAUGAGGCCUGUCGAGUACUGGCUGAGGGUAUUGCAGUCAAAGCAGCAGACCUUGACAUAGCUGCUGUUAUGGGAAUGGGUUUCCCACCUUACAGGGGAGGUAUAAUGUUCUGGGCUGAUUCUCUUGGAUCCACUUACAUUUAUUCAAGAUUGGAGGAAUGGUCAAAGAUGUAUGGAGAAUUCUUCAAGCCAUGUGCCUAUUUGGCUGAAAGAGCUUCCAAGGGUGCUCCUCUGAGUUCUCCAGUGGAGCAAGCAACAUCUCGUUUGUAGGAUCGAUUUGCUUUGUACAUGCCUGGUUCAGUUGGCAGGUUUGGAGAAAUGCACCAUUAGCUUAAAUUUGCAUAAGGAUUGAGGUGAGAAAGACUGAGGAUGUUGCAGGCAGGGAUGCUGUUCAGGAGGUUGACAUUGACAAUGAGGCUUAAGACUUAGGAAGAUAAUUUAGAUUUUUAUCUUUACUAUUAAAUGAUUUCCAUUUCCGCAAUGCAUAGUACAAGUUAAACUAUUAUAUAGUAAGUGUUAUUGACCAAAUUGUUUAUUUUGAGAGAUUCCUUUUAUUAAAGUAUUUAAUGAGACUUUUAUUAUGAGAUCUUUUA